CAGUCGCCGCGGGAAUACGUAGGUCCCGAGCGUUGUCCGGAUUUAUUGGGCGUAAAGCGAGCACAGGCGGUUAGAUAAGUCUGAAGUUAAAGGCUGUGGCUUAACCAUAGUACGCUUUGGAAACUGUUUAACUUGAGUGCAAGAGGGGAGAGUGGAAUUCCAUGUGUAGCGGUGAAAUGCGUAGAUAUAUGGAGGAACACCGGUGGCGAAAGCGGCUCUCUGGCUUGUAACUGACGCUGAGGCUCGAAAGCGUGGGGAGCAAACAGGAUUAGAUACCCCUGUAGUCCCUGUCUCUUAUACA
rnacentral:rRNA from 1 species